rnacentral:rRNA from 1 species
UACGAAGGGGGCUAGCGUUGCUCGGAAUCACUGGGCGUAAAGCGCACGUAGGCGGGUUCUUAAGUCAGGGGUGAAAUCCUGGAGCUCAACUCCAGAACUGCCUUUGAUACUGGGAAUCUCGAGUCCGGGAGAGGUGAGUGGAACUGCGAGUGUAGAGGUGAAAUUCGUAGAUAUUCGCAAGAACACCAGUGGCGAAGGCGGCUCACUGGCCCGAUACUGACGCUGAGGUGCGAAAGCGUGGGGAGCAAACAGG